AACGCCGGAAAUCUCACCGGGGCGACAGCAAUAUGAAGGUCAGGCUGAAGACCUUACCCGAUUAGCUGAGAGGUGGUGCAUGGCCGUCGUCAGUUCGUACUGUGAAGCAUCCUGUUAAGUCAGGCAACGAGCGAGACCCACGUCCACAGUUGCCAGCAUACCCUCCGGGGUGAUGGGUACACUGUGGAGACCGCCGCUGCUAAAGCGGAGGAAGGAGUGGGCAACGGUAGGUCAGUAUGCCCCGAAUCUCCCGGGCUACACGCGGGCUACAAUGGUUGGUACAAUGGGCAUCUACCCCGAAAGGGGAAGGAAAUCUCUUAAAGCCAAUCGUAGUUCGGAUUGAGGGCUGCAACUCGCCCUCAUGAAGCUGGAAUCCGUAGUAAUCGCGUUUCAACAGAACGCGGUGAAUACGUCCCUGCUCCUU
rnacentral:rRNA from 1 species